AUUUAGUUCGCUCUCACGAGGUUCCAUCACUAUUCUGUCUAUUCUUAUAAUUAUAUAAAAAAUACUCUAAAAAAUAAUAAAAAUAUAUUUCUAAAAUUUAGCCUAAAAAAAUUUACAGUGAAAGUUACUGUAUUUUAGUCUAAAAAAUACGGAGAGAUUUUUUGUAUUACAAGGCAAAAUAUAAGUUUUUAAAACUAAGGAGGGAAAAAUAAAAAAUCAAAAAUUUAUAGAGGGGUUUUUGUAUUUUAGACUAAAAAAUAUACGAUUUACCAAUAAUUAAGAUAGUACAUUACUUUUACAAUAACGAUGCGUCAAUAUUCAGUCAACUAAAUUGAAUCGUGGGACUCGAUUGUAAUAAUUUGGAAAGUUUAAACUAGCAAUUACGGCAUAAUAAAGUUUAGUUUGAGGACCAAACGUGUAAUGUAUCCUAAAUCUUAUAUCUUAAUUGACUAACAUAUUAUUACGAGAUCAAAUAA
rnacentral:lncRNA from 1 species